CAGUAGCCGCGGGAAAACGUAGGGUGCAAGCGUUGUCCGGAAUUAUUGGGCGUAAAGAGCGUGUAGGCGGCUCGACAAGUCCGCUGUGAAAGUCCAAGGCUCAACCCUGGAAUGCCGGUGGAUACUGUCGAGCUAGAGUCCGGAAGGGGCGAGUGGAACUCCUGGUGUAGCGGUGAAAUGCGCAGAUAUCAGGAAGAACACCAAUGGCGAAGGCAGCUCGCUGGGACGUGACUGACGCUGAGACGCGAAAGCGUGGGGAGCGAACAGGAUUAGAUACCCGGGUAGUCCCUGUCUCUUAUAA
rnacentral:rRNA from 1 species